UACGUAGGGGGCUAGCGCUGUCCGGAAUCAUUGGGCGUAAAGAGCGCGUAGGCGGCCAGAUAAGUCCGGUGUGAAAGUCACAGGCUCAACCUGUGAAUGCCGCUGGAAACUGUCUGGCUAGAGUCCGGAAGGGGCGAGUGGAAUUCCUGGUGUAGCGGUGAAAUGCGCAGAUAUCAGGAGGAACACCAAUGGCGAAGGCAGCUCGCUGGAACGGUACUGACGCUGAGGCGCGAAAGCGUGGGGAGCAAACAGG
rnacentral:rRNA from 1 species